GCGAGAGUGGCGGAAUUGGCAGACGCACCGGACUUAGGAUCCGGCGGCUUGUCCGUGAGGGUUCAACUCCCUCCUCUCGCACCA
rnacentral:tRNA from 1 species